rnacentral:lncRNA from 1 species
CAUACAAUGCUCAAUCUCCAUUGUUCUACCCUUUUCCCAAACAUACAAUUGCACAAUCAUUCUCAAAUGUCAAACCCAACUCACAUCUCUCACCAAAAGAUCCUAAGAACUUUAACUCCUCCUCUUUGAAAUCUACAAAGGAUUUUCGACAACCUCAAAACAUUACUUAGCUCCUAACAACUUUGCUAGCCUCCUUUUUCUUUCUUUUUCUUUUCUUUUCAUAUAUAUAUAUAUAUAUAUAUAUAUAUUUUUUUUAGAUGGGGGCCAAGACUUUUCAUAAAUUGAGCUAGAGGUUUUUCUACUUAUCCCAAUA